GAUGAACGCUGGCGGCGUGCUUAACACAUGCAAGUCGAACGGAAAGGCUCCUGCUUGCAGGGGUACUCGAGUGGCGAACGGGUGAGUAACACGUGGGUGAUCUGCCCUGCACUUCGGGAUAAGCCUGGGAAACUGGGUCUAAUACCGGAUAGGACGAUGGUUUGGAUGCCAUUGUGGAAAGUGUUUCGGUGUGGGAUGAGCUCGCGGCCUAUCAGCUUGUUGGUGGGGUAAUGGCCUACCAAGGCGUCGACGGGUAGCCGGCCUGAGAGGGUGUACGGCCACAGUGGGACGGGGAUACGGCCCAGACCCCUACGGGCGGCAGCAGUGGGGAAGAUUGCACAACGGGAGCAAGCAUGAGGCAGCGACGCCGCGUGGGGGAAGACGGCCUUCGGGUUGUAAACUCCUUUCGCUAGGGACGAAGUGCAAGUGACGGUACCUGGAGAAGAAGCACCGGCUAACUACGUG
rnacentral:rRNA from 1 species